UACGUAGGGACCGAGCGUUGUUCGGAAUUAUUGGGCGUAAAGGGUGCGUAGGCGGUUUGGUAAGUCUUAUGUGAAAUCUACAGGCUCAACUUGUAGUCUGCACGAGAAACUGCCGGGCUUGAGUGUGGGAGAGGUGAGUGGAAUUCCCGGUGUAGCGGUGAAAUUCGUAGAUAUCGGGAGGAACACCAGUGGCGAAGGCGGCGACCUGGGCAGAUACUGACACUGAGGUGCGAAAGCGUGGGGAGCAAACAGG
rnacentral:rRNA from 1 species